GGCCUAGUGAUGUAGUGGCUAGCAUGUUGGUCUUCGAUCCAAUCGUUGAUCUGAUAACCAAAUGUCGCAGGUUCGAUCCCUGCCUGGGUCG
rfam:Tulasnella calospora MTT 4182 unplaced genomic scaffold scaffold_1068, whole genome shotgun sequence.